AACGUAGGAGGCGAGCGUUAUCCGGAUUUACUGGGUGUAAAGCGCGUGCAGGCGGUCAGCUAAGUUGGGGGUGAAAGCUCCUGGCUCAACUAGGAGAGGUCGCUCAAGACUGGCGGACUGGAGAGCAGUAAGGGAAGGUGGAAUUCCGGGUGUAGUGGUGAAAUGCGUAGAUAUCCGGAGGAACACCAGUGGCGAAAGCGGCCUUCUGGACUGUAUCUGACGCUCAGACGCGAAAGCUAGGAGAGCAAACGGGAGUAGAGACCCCGGUAGUCCUAGCUGUAAACGAUGUGAACUUGGCGCUGGAUGGGUAAAACCGAUCAGUGCCGGAGCAAACGCGAUAAGUUCACCACCUGAGGACUACGGCCGCAAGGUUAAA
rnacentral:rRNA from 1 species